rnacentral:rRNA from 1 species
UACGUAGGGUGCAAGUCGUUGUCCGGAAUUAUUGGGCGUAAAGAGCUUGUAGGCGGUUUGUCGCGUCUGCCGUGAAAAUCCGGGGCUCAACCCCGGACUUGCGGUGGGUACGGGCAGACUAGAGUGUGGUAGGGGAGACUGGAAUUCCUGGUGUAGCGGUGAAAUGCGCAGAUAUCAGGAGGAACACCGAUGGCGAAGGCAGGUCUCUGGGCCACUACUGACGCUGAGAAGCGAAAGCGUGGGGAGCGAACAGG